UAAGUCCCGCAACGAGCGCAACCCCUGUGGUUAGUUACCAGCACGUAAUGGUGGGGACUCUAGCCAGACUGCCUACGCAAGUAGUGAGGAAGGUGGGGACGACGUCAAGUCAUCAUGGCCCUUACGUCCAGGGCUGCACACGUGCUACAAUGGUUGGUACAAUGGGUCGCCACCACGCGAGUGGGCGCAAAUCCAUAAAACCAAUCUCAGUUCGGAUUGGAGUCUGCAACUCGACUCCAUGAAGUUGGAAUCGCUAGUAAUCGCGUAUCAGCAAU
rnacentral:rRNA from 1 species